CCUGCACCUGCCGGCGACCGGCGCACGGGUGAGUAACACGUAUGGAACCUGCCCGCCACAGGGGGAUAACCCGGGGAAACCCGGCCUAAUACCCCAUGCCGCCCGGACCGGGCAUCCGGUCCGGGCGAAAGGAGGAAUCCGGUGGCGGCUGGGCAUGCGGCGCAUUAGCUUGACGGCGGGGUAACGGCCCACCGUGGCGACGAUGCGUAGGGGUUCUGAGAGGAAGGCCCCCACACUGGAACUGAGACACGGUCCAGACUCCUACGGAAGGCAGCAG
rnacentral:rRNA from 1 species